GCUCGCCAAUCUCCCCCACGUGACCGAGGUCGGGACCAAUCCUAUGUUAGAACGAAGCGUUCUCCUCCCCACCCCCACCCCCCGGCCGCCAAUCACAGGACAGAAACUGACCAUAGAGGCUUUGGAGUUGAGAUCCCCAUGUAAGAGAGCAGGAAUUAUUUUCAGAUCACCAAACAAAUUGGGUAUCUUCACCUAAAAAGAAAAAGAAGCAAACAAUAAGCUUGACUGGAGAAAUCAUCUGUUAUCUACCAUAGCUGCAGAAGUAGUCACACAAUCCUUGGAAAAGGCAGGGCUGCUUUAAGGAUUUGCAAACAAGUAUGUAGGUAUGAAGAGUAACACAACAAAGCAAAAACAAUAAAAGCCUACCUGUGGAAGAUAACCACAACAAGU